rnacentral:rRNA from 1 species
UUCGUCCAAGUGAAGCAGAGGACAGUGGCGGACGGGUGAGUAACGCGUGAGGAACCUGCCUUUCAGAGGGGGACAACAGUUGGAAACGACUGCUAAUACCGCAUGACAUAGCGGAACCGCAUGGUUUUGUUAUCAAAGAUUUUAUCGCUGAUAGAUGGGCUCGCGUCUGAUUAGCUAGUUGGUGAGGUAACGGCCCACCAAGGCGACGAUCAGUAGCCGGACUGAGAGGUUGACCGGCCACAUUGGGACUGAGAUACGGCCCAGACUCC